rnacentral:rRNA from 1 species
CUGAACUUAAGCAUAUCAUAAGCCGGGAGGA